GUUCAAUUUAAUAUUACCAGCAGGAUUUGCUGAUUUUAUGGUACAUCUUUCCUCAAUUGAUUGCAUAAUAAGGUUAAAGCAACUAUAAGGAGGUCCCGUCGGAA